rnacentral:rRNA from 1 species
CCUACGGGGGGCAGCAGUAGGGAAUAUUGCUCAAUGGGGGAAACCCUGAAGCAGCAACGCCGCGUGGAGGAUGAAGGUUUUCGGAUUGUAAACUCCUUUUGUUAGAGAAGAUAAUGACGGUAUCUAACGAAUAAGCACCGGCUAACUCCGUGCCAGCAGCCGCGGUAAUACGGAGGGUGCAAGCGUUACUCGGAAUCACUGGGCGGAAAGAGCGCGUAGGCGGGAUAGCAAGUCAGAUGUGAAAUCCUAUGGCUUAACCAUAGAACUGCAGUUGAAACUGUUAUUCUAGAGUAUGGGAGAGGUAGGUGGAAUUCUUGGUGUAGGGGUAAAAUCCGUAGAGAUCAAGAGGAAUACUCAUUGCGAAGGCGACCUGCUAGAACAUAACUGACGCUGAUGCGCGAAAGCGUGGGGAGCAAACAGGAUUAGAUACCCUAGUAGUC